rnacentral:rRNA from 1 species
CCUACGGGUGGCAGCAGUGGGGAAUAUUGGACAAUGGGGGGAACCCUGAUCCAGCGACGCCGCGUGAGUGAAGAAGUAUUUCGGUAUGUAAAGCUCUAUCAGCAGGGAAGAAAAUGACGGUACCUGACUAAGAAGCCCCGGCUAACUACGUGCCAGCAGCCGCGGUAAUACGUAUGGGGCAAGCGUUAUCCGGAUUUACUGGGUGUAAAGGGAGCGUAGGCGGCAGGGCAAGCCUGAUGUGAAAGCCCGGGGCUCAACCCCGGGACUGCAUUGGGAACUGCCCCGCUCGAGUGCCGGAGGGGCAGGCGGAAUUCCUAGUGUAGCGGUGAAAUGCGUAGAUAUUAGGAGGAACACCAGUGGCGAAGGCGGCCUGCUGGACGGUGUACUGACGCUGAGGCUCGAAAGCGUGGGGAGCAAACAGGAUUAGAUACCCGAGUAGUC